UAUUCCUAUAAAAACAAGGGGCAUGAGGAAAGAAUGCAGGCAUCAACGCACAUUGUAAAAUUUGAGCUUGAGCUCCCACCAACAUAAGCGGAUCGGAUACAAUGGACGAAGAAAAUAGCACAAAUCUAGGUUUAGAUUCAGCAAAUUCGAUUUUUGACGAAGAAAUGGUUAAUUUAGAGGACCUGGAUUUGGAUAUUGAGUUAGGGAGCUUGAGUUUGAAUGAUGAGAAUGAAUGGAAUCCUGCAAACAUCUUAGACAACAUAGGAACACCAUUAUUCAACAGCCUCGUGCACCCUACUCUCCAUCAAUCGGAUUUAACCA